GAAUUUUAGUCUCCCAAAAUAACCUAUUGAACUGUCUGCCCAGAGUUGAUUUUAAAUGCUGGUUUAUGUCAUGUAUCAUGUUCUGCAGUUGAUGGUGGUUGGUGGUGUCAGGACUAGCAGUUGGUGAUGGAAGGGGUUUAGGUAAGUCUUAAUUCUAAAGGGCUGAGUAAAGCAAUUGAGGAUGGAGGCUUGCAAGAGAUAGGUUGCAGCUGGGUUUUACUGGAUAUAAGGAGCUAGCCUGGAGACUGAUCUUUGGGAGAAAAGUAUUUGUUUUACUUUGGCUGUUGCUGUUUACACCCCCACCCCCAGGUUCAAAAACCAAUUGGAAUAGGAGUUGAAUCUAUCUUCAAUGAUGUCUUCAGGGCAAAUCUUCUACAGUACCUGAGAGCAUCAGAUUUAUUUGGGCUGUCACAUCCAACCCUGCCUUCUUAUUACUGCUUGGGAAAGGGAUCUUUUGGACUAUACCAGCUGCCAGAAUCCCUUAUCCAGGAUGACUACUAAGGAUUAGUGCACCAUGGCUGUAUUCUGCACAGAGGGAAUAACAGCGCCCAUAAUUCCAAACAACUGGUAAACUGGCUGGGACUUUUGCGAGCUGAAGUCCAAAACAUCUGGAGGAGCAGAGUUUGAGAAACAGUGGUAUAGACACAUGGCUUGUAAGAAAAAUCUGGAUUUUGUACCGGAAUUCUGUCCUGUCUUCUGUUUGGAUAUAAGGAUUUCCACAGAAUCCUUAUCACUGGCUCUUCUAC